rnacentral:rRNA from 1 species
GCAGCAGGCGCGCAAAUUACCCACUCCCAGAUCGGGGAGGUAGUGACGAAAAAUAACGAUACGGGACUCAUCCGAGGCCCCGUAAUCGGAAUGAGUACACUCUAAACCCUUUAACGAGGAUCCAUUGGAGGGCAAGUCUGGUGCCAGCAGCCGCGGUAAUUCCAGCUCCAAUAGCGUAUAUUAAAGUUGUUGCGGUUAAAAAGCUCGUAGUCGAAUUUGUGUCUCGCGCCGUCCGGUUCAUCGUUCGCGGUGUCAACUGGCGUGUCGCGAGACGUCCUGCCGGCGGGUCGUUCGCAAGAGCGGCCCAAAUUGCCCCGCCGCGGUGCUCUUCAUUGAGUGUCGAGGUGGGCCGGCACUUUUACUUUGAACAAACUAAGGUGCUUAAAGCAGGCUGAAAUUUUGCCAGAAUAUUUUAUGCAUGGAAUAAUGAAACAGGACCUCGAUUCUAUUUUGUUGGUUUUCGGAACCUCGAGGUAAUGAUUAACAGGAACGGAUGGGGGCAUUCGUAUUGCGACGUUAGAGGUGAAAUUCUUGGAUCGUCGCAAGACGGACAGAAGCGAAAGCAUUUGCCAAAAACGUUUUCAUUGAUCAAGAACGAAAGUUAGAGGUUCGAAGGCGAUCAGAUACCGCCCUAGUUCUAACCAUAAACUAUGCCAGCUAGCGAUCCGCCGACGUUCCUCCGAUGACUCGGCGGGCAGCUUCCGGGAAACCAAAGCUUUUGGGUUCCGGGGGAAGUAUGGUUGCAAAGCUGAAACUUAAAGGAAUUGACGGAAGGGCACCACCAGGAGUGGAGCCUGCGGCUUAAUUUGACUCAACACGGGAAACCUCACCAGGCCCGGACACCGGAAGGAUUGACAGAUUGAGAGCUCUUUCUUGAUUCGGUGGGUGGUGGUGCAUGGCCGU